rnacentral:SRP_RNA from 1 species
UGGCGGGUCUCCCCGCAUGCAGGUUUGGGACAAGGGGUCAGGUGCGGAAGCAAGCAGCCCACCCUGAAUUCAGCAGUGCCGGGGCUCCGGCUCGCCACCUC